UGGGGUAUAGCCAAGUGGUAAGGCACCGGUUUUUGGUAUCGGCAUUCGGAGGUUCGAGUCCUCCUACCCCAGCCA
rnacentral:tRNA from 2 species